AAAUUGAAGAGUUUGAUCAUGGCUCAGAUUGAACGCUGGCGGCAGGCCUAACACAUGCAAGUCGAACGGUGACAGGAAG
rnacentral:rRNA from 1 species